rnacentral:tRNA from 1 species
UUAAUUGAAACCAAAGAAGGAGGUAUUCCACUGUUAAUGGAAAAACUGGAAAAAUUCCCAAUUAAA